rnacentral:lncRNA from 1 species
AAGUGAUUGCUCCUUCAGGAGCUGGACCACUCUAAAACUGGAGGAAAUGAAAGCUAUUGGUUGGAUCUAGAGGAAAACAUACUGACUUCUGGAAAGAUUAAGGAGCUAAAGAUCAGCCAAAAAGAACUUCAGCUUUCCACUGUGAAGGAAUUACGUGGAUUUCUCCUUUUAAUCUGAAGGAACUCCUUAAAUAGAAAACCAAAUAACCCCAAGCCUCUUCUGUUGCAGGAAACACUAGUGUGGAAUGCCAAAAACAGAUACAGCAAUGCAUGUUGGCUGCAGUAUAAAUCCAGCUGUAGAUAUGGGACAGAAUAAAACUCUUACAGAAAUAGAAGCUUUUUUGAAUAAUAACCUCUUAACUGCAAUAGAAAUAAGCAGUCUUUCUGAGAAUCUUCAGAGUUCUCUUCCCCUGUCAGAUGGUCCAAGCAGCUGUACUGAUGACCAGUUCAGGAGUACAUGUCAGUCAGCCAGAUCUCUGGAACUGCCAGUGAAGCUUCCUUUAAUUGCAACGUCUAACGCAAAACAGCAGGAUAGCCCUUCUGUUUGUGAAGUACUAAAUUCUUGUAAAAGUACUACUGUUUUGUCAAAGGAAAUACACUCAGAUCAACUCAGGUUUGCGUUAUCAUUGCCUUCUGAUAGAAAUAAUCAAAGGUCAAAUGAAACAGACCAGGUGGAAGCAACUGUUGACACAAAUACAUUUUUAAAAGGGAGAAAGGCUUUGCAAGAUCUGACAAAUACCAGUAUACAUUCUCAGGUUUCCUUACCUAAAUCCCCCAAAACUUUAGAAGAAAACUCAGCAGCACGAGCUAGACGAGGAAGAGCUGCUAUUUGCUACAAAGAACCCAAACUAAACAGCAAAUUAAGGCGUGGAGAUCAGUUUACAGAUACAGAUUUUCUGGAUUCCCCAGUCUAUAAAGUAAAAAAUAAAAGAAGUUUUAAAAGUAAAUCAAAAUUUAUUUGAAGAAGACAAGAGAAUUGCCUUUAUGAACAGUAUUUUUAACAUGUAUACUUUUUUUUUUUCCAAAAUGGUAUAGACUGCUUAUUGUUCUUUGAUUAAUAAAGGUAAAACACAGCCUUCCA